rnacentral:rRNA from 1 species
UACGUAGGGGGCUAGCGUUGUCCGGAUUUAUUGGGCGUAAAGAGCGUGUAGGCGGCCAGACAGGUCCGUUGUGAAAACUAGAGGCUUAACCUCUAGACGUCGAUGGAAACCGUCUGGCUAGAGUCCGGAAGAGGAGAAUGGAAUUCCUGGUGUAGCGGUGAAAUGCGCAGAUAUCAGGAAGAACACCCGUGGCUAAGGCGGUUCUCUAGUACGGUACUGACGCUGAGACGCGAAAGCGUGGGGAGCGAACAGG